rnacentral:lncRNA from 10 species
GUUGGCCGGUGACUUGCCCUCUGACCCCGCCGUGGGGGACGAGACCCGAUGGAGGUACUAGGGGCCCCUGCGGCUGAGCCCGUGUCCAGGCACCUUCCACGUGGCGCAGGGCGGAUCAAGGCUUGCCCGGGGCCAGCGCGGGGCUGCCGCCAGCACGAGAGCCUCGGGGACCGCCCUCCUCCGGCAGCCGGUGUCAGCGGAGAGUGACAGACGGUCUGGUGGGCCCUGCCAAGGCAGCCCCUAAAUAGAGAUCUCCAGAGGGGGCAACACCAUAAAAAAGGUUCUUUGUGUUUCACUCUAGCGUGGUAUUGCUCUAAUAUAGAGCUCGGCACUUUCCCCAACCUCUAGGAAUUCGAACACCUGGAAAAAUUCUCCUGGCUUUACAUUGGAGGAAAUUUAAUGGUGUAAACCAACUCUGCAGGGGGGCCCCCUUUGAUUUGAGAAAGCAGUGAUCUGCGGUGCAGUGCUGAGCCGAAGGGGCUUGGAAACGACUUUGCCUGAGAAUGUCCAUUCCUCAAACACUUUAAGGAUGGCUUCGAGUUGUUUAGAAAAAUUUAGGCAGACAGCACCGUCUUGGAAGCAUCUAGAAACUUCGAGAGAAAUAAACUUCAGUUACUCGUUUAAUUACAGGCAUCAGCUUGCCAGUUCCCUGCUAACUGUCCAUUUCCGAAUAGGGCAGAAUUUUUCAGGGGUCUUUGCUGUGCUACUACAGCUUUAUGAAUUGUAGACCGGUUUGUCAGCCUUAUUUUAGCUCGGCAAAUAAGGAAAUCAUACCUGGGAAAGUGAAGUGACUUCCCCAAGGUCACCUGACCCAGAAGCCAAGACUCCAGGCUUGUAAGUUCCAUGAUGUUGAUGCCCUUAUUGUUUCCCUGUGGAGUCCUGCUACCCAGAAAGUAAGCUGUGAGCUAAGGAGAGGAAAAGGCCCAACACCUGCCUGUCAGGGCUCCUGGAUCACGCCCUGCUGCCUGCUGACCUAUAUUGGACUCGAGCCCUUCUUCUGGCAUGCUCACCUGUUAACCCACCUAUCAGCCCACACCUCUGACUGCUGGCUGCUCCCCAUUGAGCCUGAAAUACUGUGCUAUCUGCCUGUACCCUUUUGCAUAAGCUGGGGUUGGGUUAUCUCAGAUUUCUAUUUGGGUCAAGAUUGCCACAUACCUCACCUCUUCUGUUCUGGUCCUCAUCCUGUGUUCCUGGACAAAAAUAACAUUUGAGUAGAAAGCUUUUCUACUUGUUGACAUAGUUGAACAGAUUUUGCUUUAUUGAGAUGAAAUGGAGCCUAAAUUUAUCUGGAAAUGUGUGGAAUCAGUAGAGAGAAGUAAACACAACUCGAAGAAAGCGGGAAACCCCUGUGUACAAUUCAGCUUUUUCACUCCCAGGGAGUUGGGCAUGAUUGUAAAGAAUGAUGUUUUCAAGCCUGCCAAUAACAGAACACGUCUGUAUCCAUUGUGGAUGGGCUUCUUUGAGAAAGCUUCCUUUUCGCCCAAGUAGAGGAGCUCUUCACUGCCCUAAGAUUCUGCUUUCCUACUCCCAUGUCAGAGCAGGAAAAGGUGAAUAUUUUUCACACAGAAUAGCCUCAUCCAUUCCCACGGGGAGUGAGAUAGUUCCUGUAGGGUGCUAGUGAUGGCAUAAAAUUACAGCUCACUAGAGAAACAGUUGCGAGUAAAGAAAUAUAUACAUUUCCUCUAUUUGUGUUCCCUGUCUGUGUUGUCUAAGUUGCAAACAACAGACUCCACUUCAGCUAGGUUAAAGGGAAAAGAGGUUUAAUAAAGAAAAUUAAAUAGCUUAUAGCAUCACUGGGGAACUAGAGAAACAGAUUUAAGGCUAAGCUUCCAGAAACAUAUCCCAAAACAUGCCCCCAAACCGUGACACUGACAUGAAGAGACAGUUGUCAUUGCUGCUUUAUUGAACAGAGGACUGAGAAUUUUUCUACAGUCACUGCUGUUCUCUGCACUGAUGGAAGCCAAGCCUGCCUGGAGAACUCAACUUUGCAACCCAAAGCUGGUGGCUAAUGUGGCUACCCCUACCAACAAAAUGGAAACUCCACCAGGUGUCUGAAUCCAGCUCUCACGACCAUUUAGUGGAGCAGGAAGAAACUGCAGGCCUUUUGGAGGUAUUUCCUUGUGAUUCUGGUCCAAUCCACCACCACCGUCUCACGCUUAGAACCCUGCAAUCCUUCGUAAGUAUUUGUUCUGGAAUCCUGUUACUCUGUUACUAAAACCACUCCUAUUUCUCACCUUGCUCAAGCUUCUCAUCUCACUUAGAAAAAGGAAUUUUUACAAACAAAUCUUUCCAUUAGCAUCAUAAUGUUUUUCAUGUUUGGCUCUGACUCAGUUUCCUUUCACUUUCUGGGAGCCUUUCCUCACCCUCCUACCUCGCUCACUCUGCUGUGGCCCUACCACCUUUCUGUUACUCAAACUCGCUUUUCACCCUCCUGCUUGGAUGAAUGAGCAGAGUCAUUGCUUGUAGUGUCCCCUUU